UUACGGCCAUAUCACAUUGAAACACCAGUUCUCGAACGAUCACCGAAUCUAAGCAACGUCCAACCUGGUCAGUACCUUGAUGGGUGACAACGUGGGAAUACCAGGUGCUA